rnacentral:rRNA from 1 species
GAUUAAGUUAUUAAGGGCGCACGGUGGAUGCCUUGGCACUAGAAGCCAAUGAAGGACGUUACUAACGACGAUAUGCUUUGGGGAGCUGUAAGUAAGCUUUGAUCCAGAGAUUUCCGAAUGGGGAAACCCAGCAUGAGUUAUGUCAUGUUAUCGAUAUGUGAAUACAUAGCAUAUCAGAAGGCACACCCGGAGAACUGAAACAUCUUAGUACCCGGAGGAAGAGAAAGAAAAUUCGAUUCCCUUAGUAGCGGCGAGCGAAACGGGAAGAGCCCAAACCAACAAGCUUGCUUGUUGGGGUUGUAGGACACUCUAUACGGAGUUACAAAGGACGACAUUAGACGAAUCAUCUGGAAAGAUGAAUCAAAGAAGGUAAUAAUCCUGUAGUCGAAAAUGUUGUCUCUCUUGAGUGGAUCCUGAGUACGACGGAGCACGUGAAAUUCCGUCGGAAUCUGGGAGGACCAUCUCCUAAGGCUAAAUACUCUCUAGUGACCGAUAGUGAACCAGUACCGUGAGGGAAAGGUGAAAAGCACCCCGGAAGGGGAGUGAAAUAGAACCUGAAACCGUGUGCUUACAAGUAGUCAGAGCCCGUUAAUGGGUGAUGGCGUGCCUUUUGUAGAAUGAACCGGCGAGUUACGAUUUGAUGCAAGGUUAAGCAGUAAAUGUGGAGCCGUAGCGAAAGCGAGUCUGAAUAGGGCGUUUAGUAUUUGGUCGUAGACCCGAAACCAGGUGAUCUACCCUUGGUCAGGUUGAAGUUCAGGUAACACUGAAUGGAGGACCGAACCGACUUACGUUGAAAAGUGAGCGGAUGAACUGAGGGUAGCGGAGAAAUUCCAAUCGAACCUGGAGAUAGCUGGUUCUCUCCGAAAUAGCUUUAGGGCUAGCCUCAAGUGAUGAUUAUUGGAGGUAGAGCACUGUUUGGACGAGGGGCCCCUCUCGGGUUACCGAAUUCAGACAAACUCCGAAUGCCAAUUAAUUUAACUUGGGAGUCAGAACAUGGGUGAUAAGGUCCGUGUUCGAAAGGGAAACAGCCCAGACCACCAGCUAAGGUCCCAAAAUAUAUGUUAAGUGGAAAAGGAUGUGGCGUUGCCCAGACAACUAGGAUGUUGGCUUAGAAGCAGCCAUCAUUUAAAGAGUGCGUAAUAGCUCACUAGUCGAGUGACACUGCGCCGAAAAUGUACCGGGGCUAAACAUAUUACCGAAGCUGUGGAUUGUCCUUUGGACAAUGGUAGGAGAGCGUUCUAAGGGCGUUGAAGCAUGAUCGUAAGGACAUGUGGAGCGCUUAGAAGUGAGAAUGCCGGUGUGAGUAGCGAAAGACGGGUGAGAAUCCCGUCCACCGAUUGACUAAGGUUUCCAGAGGAAGGCUCGUCCGCUCUGGGUUAGUCGGGUCCUAAGCUGAGGCCGACAGGCGUAGGCGAUGGAUAACAGGUUGAUAUUCCUGUACCACCUAUAAUCGUUUUAAUCGAUGGGGGGACGCAGUAGGAUAGGCGAAGCGUGCGAUUGGAUUGCACGUCUAAGCAGUAAGGCUGAGUAUUAGGCAAAUCCGGUACUCGUUAAGGCUGAGCUGUGAUGGGGAGAAGACAUUGUGUCUUCGAGUCGUUGAUUUCACACUGCCGAGAAAAGCCUCUAGAUAGAAAAUAGGUGCCCGUACCGCAAACCGACACAGGUAGUCAAGAUGAGAAUUCUAAGGUGAGCGAGCGAACUCUCGUUAAGGAACUCGGCAAAAUGACCCCGUAACUUCGGGAGAAGGGGUGCUCUUUAGGGUUAACGCCCAGAAGAGCCGCAGUGAAUAGGCCCAAGCGACUGUUUAUCAAAAACACAGGUCUCUGCUAAACCGUAAGGUGAUGUAUAGGGGCUGACGCCUGCCCGGUGCUGGAAGGUUAAGAGGAGUGGUUAGCUUCUGCGAAGCUACGAAUCGAAGCCCCAGUAAACGGCGGCCGUAACUAUAACGGUCCUAAGGUAGCGAAAUUCCUUGUCGGGUAAGUUCCGACCCGCACGAAAGGCGUAACGAUUUGGGCACUGUCUCAACGAGAGACUCGGUGAAAUCAUAGUACCUGUGAAGAUGCAGGUUACCCGCGACAGGACGGAAAGACCCCGUGGAGCUUUACUGUAGCCUGAUAUUGAAAUUCGGCACAGCUUGUACAGGAUAGGUAGGAGCCUUUGAAACGUGAGCGCUAGCUUACGUGGAGGCGCUGGUGGGAUACUACCCUAGCUGUGUUGGCUUUCUAACCCGCACCACUUAUCGUGGUGGGAGACAGUGUCAGGCGGGCAGUUUGACUGGGGCGGUCGCCUCCUAAAAGGUAACGGAGGCGCUCAAAGGUUCCCUCAGAAUGGUUGGAAAUCAUUCAUAGAGUGUAAAGGCAUAAGGGAGCUUGACUGCGAGACCUACAAGUCGAGCAGGGUCGAAAGACGGACUUAGUGAUCCGGUGGUUCCGCAUGGAAGGGCCAUCGCUCAACGGAUAAAAGCUACCCCGGGGAUAACAGGCUUAUCUCCCCCAAGAGUUCACAUCGACGGGGAGGUUUGGCACCUCGAUGUCGGCUCAUCGCAUCCUGGGGCUGUAGUCGGUCCCAAGGGUUGGGCUGUUCGCCCAUUAAAGCGGUACGCGAGCUGGGUUCAGAACGUCGUGAGACAGUUCGGUCCCUAUCCGUCGUGGGCGUAGGAAAUUUGAGAGGAGCUGUCCUUAGUACGAGAGGACCGGGAUGGACAUACCUCUGGUGUACCAGUUGUCGUGCCAACGGCAUAGCUGGGUAGCUAUGUGUGGACGGGAUAAGUGCUGAAAGCAUCUAAGCAUGAAGCCCCCCUCAAGAUGAGAUUUCCCAACUUCGGUUAUAAGAUCCCUCAAAGAUGAUGAGGUUAAUAGGUUCGAGGUGGAAGCAUGGUGACAUGUGGAGCUGACGAAUACUAAU